rnacentral:rRNA from 1 species
CUACGUGCCAGCAGCCGCGGUAAUACGUAGGUCCCGAGCGUUGUCCGGAUUUAUUGGGCGUAAAGCGAGCGCAGGCGGUUAGAUAAGUCUGAAGUUAAAGGCUGUGGCUUAACCAUAGUAUGCUUUGGAAACUGUUUAACUUGAGUGCAGAAGGGGAGAGUGGAAUUCCAUGUGUAGCGGUGAAAUGCGUAGAUAUAUGGAGGAACACCGGUGGCGAAAGCGGCUCUCUGGUCUGUAACUGACGCUGAGGCUCGAAAGCGUGGGGAGCAAACAGGAUUAGAUACCCUGGUAGUCCACGCCGUAAACGAUGAGUGCUAGGUGUUAG